AUUGAACGCUGGCGGCCGGCCUAACACAUGCAAGUCUAACGAGUGGCGGACGGGUGAGUAAUUUCUGUGAAACUGCCCGCUGGAGGGGGAUAACUACUGGAAACGGUAGCUAAUACCGCAUACCAUCGGAUUUGCCCAGAUGGGACUAGCUAGUAGGGUGGGUAACGGCUCACCUAGGAGACGAUCCCUAGCUGGUCUGCGAGGAUGACCAGCCAUAAUGGAACUGAGACACGGUCCAGACGCCUACGGGAUGCAGCAGGGGGGAAUAUUGCAGAAGGGGCGCAAGCCGGAUGCAGCCAUGCAGCGGGUAUGAAGAAGGCCUUCGGGUUGUAAAGUACUUUCAGCGAGGAGGCGUUACUCGCAGAAGAAGCACCGGCUAACUCCGUGCCAGCAGCCGCGGUAAUUC
rnacentral:rRNA from 1 species